rnacentral:rRNA from 1 species
GCUGGCGGCAGGCUUAACACAUGCAAGUCGAGCGGGCGAGGUUGCUUCGGUAACUGAGCUAGCGGCGGACGGGUGAGUAAUGCUUAGGAAUCUGCCUAUUAGUGGGGGACAACAUUCCGAAAGGAAUGCUAAUACCGCAUACGCCCUACGGGGGAAAGCAGGGGAUCUUCGGACCUUGCGCUAAUAGAUGAGCCUAAGUCAGAUUAGCUAGUUGGUGGGGUAAAGGCCUACCAAGGCGACGAUCUGUAGCGGGUCUGAGAGGAUGAUCCGCCACACUGGGACUGAGACACGGCCCAGACUCCUACGGGAGGCAGCAGUGGGGAAUAUUGGACAAUGGGCGCAAGCCUGACCCAGCCAUGCCGCGUGUGUGAAGAAGGCCUUUUGGUUGUAAAGCACUUUAAGCGAGGAGGAGGCUACUUGGAUUAAUACUCUAGGAUAGUGGACGUUACUCGCAGAAUAAGCACCGGCUAACUCUGUGCCAGCAGCCGCGGUAAUACAGAGGGUGCGAGCGUUAAUCGGAUUUACUGGGCGUAAAGCGUGCGUAGGCGGCUUCUUAAGUCGGAUGUGAAAUCCCUGAGCUUAACUUAGGAAUUGCAUUCGAUACUGGGAAGCUAGAGUAUGGGAGAGGAUGGUAGAAUUCCAGGUGUAGCGGUGAAAUGCGUAGAGAUCUGGAGGAAUACCGAUGGCGAAGGCAGCCAUCUGGCCUAAUACUGACGCUGAGGUACGAAAGCAUGGGGAGCAAACAGGAUUAGAUACCC